rnacentral:rRNA from 1 species
UACGGAGGAUGCAAGCGUUAUCCGGAAUGAUUGGGCGUAAAGCGUCCGCAGGUGGCUGUGUAAGUCUGCUGUUAAAGAGUCUAGCUCAACUAGAUAAAAGCAGUGGAAACUACACGGCUAGAGUACGUUCGGGGCAGAGGGAAUUCCUGGUGUAGCGGUGAAAUGCGUAGAGAUCGGGAAGAACACCAGUGGCGAAGGCGCUCUACUGGGCCACAACUGACGCUGAGGGACGAAAGCUAGGGGAGCGAAAGGG